AACAGGAUUAGAUACCCGGGUAGUCCACGCCGUAAACGAUGGAUACUAGCUGUUGGAGGUAUCGACCCCUUCAGUAGCGAAGCUAACGCGUUAAGUAUCCCGCCUGUGGAGUACGGUCGCAAGACUAAAACAUAAAGGAAUUGACGGGGACCCGCACAAGCGGUGGAUCGUGUUCUUUAAUUCGAUGAUAAACGAAGAACCUUACCAGGGUUUGACAUCCUUGGAAUUUCUGUGAAAGCAGAGAGUGCUUUAUUGAGCCAAGUGACAGGUGCUGCAUGGCCGUCGUCAGCUCGUGUCGUGAGAUGUUUGGUUAAGUCCAUUAACGAGCGCAACCCUUGUGAAUAGUUGUAUUUUUCUAUUCAGACUGCCCCGGCAACGGGGAGGAAGGAGGGGAUGAGGUCAGGUCUGUAUUUCUCUUACACCCUGGGCUAGAAACACGAUACAAUGGUUAGUACAAUGCGCAGCGAAGCCGCGAGGUGGAGCAAAUCGCAUCAAAGCUAAUCUCAGUUCGGAUAAGAGGCUGAAACUCGCCUCUUUGAAGUCGGAAUCGCUAGUAAUCGCAGGUCAGCAAACUGCGGUGAAUACGUUCCCGGGUCUUGUACACACCGCCCGUCAAACCAUGAAAGUCACCAACACCCGAAGUCCGAUUCGUCGGCCUAAGGUGGGGGGGAUGAUUGGGGUUA
rnacentral:rRNA from 1 species